UCCCAGGACCGCGGCCUCGCCUCCACGGCCACCGCGUUGCCGCGGCCGUCCACCCCGACAAAUUGCUUGGAGAAGACCCGGAUCUGGAAGUGGGUCGCGUCGACCCGCCAUAGCUGCGAUUUCAUGUGCAGCCCAUCAUCAGGUCAGCCCCUCGUCGUCCCCCACCAUCCUUCCUCCUAACCAGCAUCAGUAACGAGACAAAUCACUGACCUUGAAGGUCUCCCAACCAGAGGGGCUGGCCCGAUUGGCCACGAGGACGCUCCCGCCGCCGUUCUCGGCGCAGAGGUACUUCCCGAGAGAGGCGGACCUCAGCUGGAUUUGGGUUCCGUCCUGCCAACGCCCAUUCAACCCGACCUCAAGAUACGACGGCAACAGAG
rnacentral:lncRNA from 1 species